rnacentral:tRNA from 1 species
UCAAAGCAUCUCGCUUACACCGAGAAAACCUCUGUGAAAACCAGAGUAUUUCGA